GACAACCGUGCAGGUCGCUGAAUGCCGCGCACGGUGAACCGCACGCACCCGGGGGCCACUGGCCAAUAUUCGGGCCAAUGUUAACGUUGGCCUCUAUGUCGAUUGCCUAACAGCGACUCGCGUCACAACAGAACCUGAUAAUGAGAAUGACGAGAAGGAACUUUCGUACACGAAACGCGUUA